rnacentral:rRNA from 1 species
UUGGAGGGCAAGUCUGGUGCCAGCAGCCGCGGUAAUUCCAGCUCCAAUAGCGUAUAUUAAAGUUGUUGCAGUUAAAAAGCUCGUAGUUGAAUUUCGGAGCUUGUCGGUUGGUCGGGCUUCACUGUCCGCACUGGCCUGAUGGAUUCCUACCUUCUGAAUAACCAGCAUGCUAUUAAGUUAGUGCGUUGGGGAAGCAGAGCUAUUACCUUGAAAAAAUUAGAGUGCUUAAAGCAGGCUUAUGCUUGAAUAGAUUAGCAUGGAAUAAUAAAAUAGGACGGCAUGGUUCUAUUUUGUUGGUUUCUAGGAUCACCGUAAUGAUUAAUAGGGAUAGUUGGGGGCAUUAGUAUUCAAUUGUCAGAGGUGAAAUUCUUGGAUUUAUUGAAGACUAACUACUGCGAAAGCAUUUGCCAAGGAUGUUUUCAUUAAUCAAGAACGAAAGUUAGGGGAUCGAAGACGAUCAGAUACCGUCGUAGUCUUAACCAUAAACUAUGCCGACUAGGAAUCAGACGAUGUUAAUUUUUUAAUGACUCGUUUGGCACCUUACGGGAAACCAAAGUGUUUGGGUUC